rnacentral:rRNA from 1 species
CCUACGGGCGGCUGCAGUAGGGAAUAUUGCUUAAUGGGCGAAAGCCUGAAGCAGCAACGCCGCGUGUGCGAUGAAGGCCUUCGGGUUGUAAAGCACUUUUUACCGGGAAGAGGAAGGACGGUACCGGUAGAAUAAGCCUCGGCUAACUACGUGCCAGCAGCCGCGGUAAAACGUAGGAGGCGAGCGUUAUCCGGAUUUACUGGGUGUAAAGCGCGUGCAGGCGGUUUGUUAAGUUGGGUGUGAAAGCUCCUGGCUCAACUGGGAGAGGUCGCUCAAGACUGGCAGACUGGAGAGCAGUAGGGGAAGGUGGAAUUCCGGGUGUAGUGGUGAAAUGCGUAGAUAUCCGGAGGAACACCAGUGGCGAAAGCGGCCUUCUGGACUGCAUCUGACGCUCAGACGCGAAAGCUAGGGUAGCAAACGGGAUUAGAUACCCGAGUAGUC